rnacentral:misc_RNA from 1 species
AAUCACCGCCAUCCAGAAGCGCAGCGUUCUAAUUCACAGAGAACUCAGCCACAUACCUCCAGAGCACGCGUGUGAAGGGUACGGGGAGGAGGUGACAUCAACGUGCCGCGUGGCAUCACAGUUGCUGUGGGCCGUUCAUUUGCCGGUUCACGUGGAGUGCGUAGGCACACACACACACAAGGCAACCGAGAACUCCGCAACAACGGAAAGGGAAACUAACGAAGGCGGAUUAAAGAAGAGCAACACAAAAAGGCUUACCAAAGAAGGAUUCGGCGAGGCGCAUACGCCAGGAGCGAACCAGCCGACGCGCACACUCCACACGGUCAGAAUCGUGGCGAAGAAGAGGACGAGAAGGGAGGCGAGCUACAGCGAUCUAUUUCUAUCUGUAUAUAGAGCGAUUAGAUACACUAGGCACACGGCUUGCGCAUGUGGGGCAACAACUUUUGCAAAGCUGGUGCGCACCAGCAGUCCGCGCUCUGCUGCGAUGGACAACCGGCCACCAUGUCCGGCUCCCGCACCUCUUUGCCUUCUCCUUCCUACGCUGCGCAACCCGCACGUCCACCGCCCGCUGGCGUGCUCUCUGCCGAUCUUGCCCGACCGAUUAGUGUGCGGGAGCUGGCGCAAUCGCGAGUGCCUGCGGUGCCGCCGCCUCCACCAGCGACGCAGGCACCACGACCUAGCGCCACCACAGCCGGCUUCGCGGGCUUUGGAGUACCCACGUCGUCGGCUGUUUAUGCUGCUACCAGUGGUGUGUCGACGUCGCGGCCGCUCUCCACCCACGCCGACGCCGGCGACUUGACGUCGCUCGCCCACCGCGACAUGGAUCACCUCAGCGGCAGUGAGCUCUACAACUACGCCUCCCACCUGCAGGAAUCAUCGAGGCAGUACAGCGGGUACCUCUCGGCGGCGUACGCAAAGCGCGACCAGUACCGUGGCGAGGUUGCCCACCUGAAGGAGGAGCUGCACAACAGGUACGUGGAAAUCGACGCGCUCCGGCGCGAACAGGAGAGGGCGAGCGAUGCUUUGCUGAAAGUGCGGGAGGACAACGCUCAACUGCGCCAGAAACUCGCCGAGGCUGAGGGGCAUGCCCGCAACAUGCAGGCCAAGAUGUCCGUGCUGAGCGGCGCUGACCCCUCCAUCGCUGUCCAUUUCUACCAGUCUCAGUUGGCUCUGAAAGAUGCGCAGCUGCGUGAGCUGCAGCAGGAGUGCGAGAGGGCAGCUGCUGCGUCGUCGCAGCGCCGCAGCUCCAGCACUACUGCAGCUGAGCACGGCCGGCGAAGCGCGAACAUCUCCGGUGAGGGUGCUGCAGCGCCCCACACGUCGCCGUCACGUGAUCUACCGAGCGCGGAGGAGUUGCAGGAUGGGGCUGAAGCGGCGUCUGCUGCGCUGCACACUGCGCUCGAGGAGCUCCAGUGCCUGAACACAUCUCUCAGCCACCGCCUCGAAGAGGAACACACAGCUCACAAAGCAGCGCUGGCCGCACACGCUGAAGCGAGUGCCACUGCCACGGCCGAUCGCGCAGAGCUGCUCGACACGAUUGCGCAACUGCGGCAGCAGUGCGCAGAUAUGCAGAGCGCGGAAGACGAGCUAGUGGCUGCCCUCACCCAGCGCGCGCCGAUCUCAAAGAAAGACUACGCAUCACUUCAAGCGUCUUACGAUGACCUCACCGCCGCCCUUGCCAAGGCAGAGGCGCAGGUAGCUGCACUCCAGGAGAAAGAGCAGCAGCACCAUCACAGCGCGCAGCAGGCUCAGGAGGAGCUUCGCCACUCGCUCACCACUGGACUGGAGGAGCGACAGAGCAUGCAAGCCCGCAAUGAACAGAUGCAGUCUCUCGUCGAUCAUCUGGAGAGGGAGUUGGAGCUAGCAGAGCGUGCGAACCAACUGCGCCAAGAGCAGCUUGACGUCGCGAUCAGCGGAAACCAGCAGCUCGCUGAAAGCCUUCAUGUGGCGCAGGAGCAGCUGCUCAGCGCUACCUCGGAGUUGCAGGAUCUCCGCGACACACGUGAGAGCCUAGAGUCCCAGCUCCGUGAGCUCCGACAACGCAUCGAGGAGCUCGAGCAGGGGGAGCAGCACCAGCGGCAUCGGCACGGCGGCGCAGAAGCGGAGAGGACAUUGAUCCACACACCAGCUGCAUCAGCAGAGAGCGAGGCAUCACAGCAGCGGCAGGAAUCGGAGGCUGAGCUCGCAAGUCUGCGCUCUCAGCGCGAUGCUGUUGUCAGCGACCGCGAUGACAUCAUAGGCGAGGUUCGACGCUUGCCGGACGAGCGGCGCGCCCUUCUCAUAUCACCACCAGCGCACGCGGAGGAACAGCUGCAGAGCCGCUCCUCGGCUGUGAGGGCGCCUUUAGACGUCCGUGCAGAUGAUAGGGAAUGGCAAAAACAAGAGGACAUCGCUGCCCUCGAGGCAGCGCACCAGUGCAUCGAGCAGAUGAAGCAGACCAUAGCAGCCCUGCAGUCGGAGCGCGUGCGCGUGGAGGCUGACCUGAAGGCGGAGGUAAACACGCUGGAGGCGGAGCUGGCGUCACAGUCCCGCGCGCUGGCCGAGGCCGAGGCGGCUGCAGCGGCGCAGCAGGCGCACCUAGAGGAGGUCAUGGCGGCUCUGAGGGACGAGCUGGUGGCAACGCAGGCGCAGGAAAAGCGGCUCCGAGCGUCCGAGGAGGCGCACCGGGAGCGGUGUGCGGAGCACCAGCGCGCGGUGGAGCAGCUGCAAGCGCACGUAGAGGAGCUGGAGAGGGCUGCGCGGGACGCAGCGAGCAGCCUUCCGACACCGCCGCCCGCCCAGCCUUCCACUGCUGCUGAGUCGGAGCUGCGCGCUAUGAAUGCGGCGCUGGACUCGCUUGCAUAUCAGCUGGAGGACGCUCAGCACCGCGUCAAGGAGCUGUCGGCAGAGCACGCGCGCACGGUGGAGGAGCUGGCGCGCGCGACUCGCGCUGUAGCGGAGCUGGAGGCGCGUGCUGCGGACGCGGAGGGCAAGCGCGAGGUCAUGCACACGGCAGCGGAGGUCACUGAAGCCGAGCUGAUGGCGCGCGUGGCGGCGCUGACGGCGGAGAACGCGCAGCUGAGGGAGAAGCUGUCGACCUCACGCGCCGCUGUGACGACGUUUGCGUCGAGGCAGACGGACGGUGAGAGCGCUGCUGCCUCGCUUGAGGAGCGGUGCGCGGCGGAGGCACGGCGCAGCGAGGCCGCGGAGGCGGAGGCAUCGGCGCUGCGGGAAACGCUGAACGGAACAGCUGCGGAGCUGGCGGAGGUGCUGCAGCGCAGCGAGGACGUGCAGGCGACGCUGGAGCGCACGGUGGCACGGCUCGCCGAGCAGGAGUCACUUGUGGGGGUUCUGAGUGCUGAGAGCACAAGGCUGCAGGAUGAGCUGGCUACUGCGCAGCGGUCCGUGCUGCUGCUCACGAGCGAGCGUGACGCGCUUGGCGAAGAGGCAGCCGGACUUCGCGGAAAGAUCUCCGCGGCAGAGGACCGCGCGUCGGAUGCGGCUGCCGCGCAGCAGCGUCUGCAGGCGUGCCUAGAGGAAGCCGAGGCCGCGGUACGCAGCAAGGACGUUGAGCUCAGCACGGCGCUUGCUGCGCUGGACCGCACUGCUUCCGAGGUGUGCGAUGCCGAGCAGCGGCUGCAGGUGUAUUCAGAGGCGAAGGAGCAGCUGGCGGCAGAGCACGCGCGCACGGUGGAGGAGCUGGCGCGCGCGACUCGCGCUGUAGCGGAGCUGGAGGCGCGUGCUGCGGACGCGGAGGGCAAGCGCGAGGUCAUGCACACGGCAGCGGAGGUCACUGAAGCCGAGCUGAUGGCGCGCGUGGCGGCGCUGACGGCGGAGAACGCGCAGCUGAGGGAGAAGCUGUCGACCUCACGCGCCGCUGUGACGACGUUUGCGUCGAGGCAGACGGACGGUGAGAGCGCUGCUGCCUCGCUUGAGGAGCGGUGCGCGGCGGAGGCACGGCGCAGCGAGGCCGCGGAGGCGGAGGCAUCGGCGCUGCGGGAAACGCUGAACGGAACAGCUGCGGAGCUGGCGGAGGUGCUGCAGCGCAGCGAGGACGUGCAGGCGACGCUGGAGCGCACGGUGGCACGGCUCGCCGAGCAGGAGGCUCUUGUUGAGCAGCUGAACUAUGAUGCAUCGGAACUAAAUGACGCCCGGGCGGUGCUCACCGAUGAGGUUACACGGCUGCAGAAGGCACUGGCAGCCGCCGUGUCGGACAAAGCCGACGUGGUGGCGCAGCUUUUGGCGACACAGAAAGAGCUGGAUCGCGCUGCGGAGGCGCAGGAUGCACAAUAUCGUGAUGAAGAGCGUCUCCAGGACGCGCUGGCGACGACGACGUCGGCCUUUGAUGUUCAAACUACGCAGGUUCGUCUUGGCAUGGCUCAUGUGGUAGACAUGUCAAGGGCGUUCUGCAGAGUCGCUGAGGUAGCGGUGCAACAGUCGGCUUCCCAGACGGACGGCGCGUCGGGCACAGGAACGAGUGUGCAGGAAAUCCUUUCGCCGUGGACUCGAGCUCUGGAGUGGGUUGCUGCCAUGGAACAGCGCCUCGAAGCUUUGGAUCGAGGUGCAAUGCCGAACUCCUUCACCAGGACAAACGGCCGACGCGAGCGGCGGCGGCGUCGGCGGGGUCGCACCACGGAGUCAGAGAACGACGAUGCAGUGGAGAUGGAGUCGAACAGCGGGUCAUAUGUGCUGGGCACAUCUCCUCUGUGUCGCGCGGUGUCCGCCAACCGUGCAGAGGCGGCCUUUGUGCGGUUGAUAGAUGAGCAGGCGGCCGCGACGAACACCAUUGCGGAUCUUCGAAGAACACUGGCGGACAAGGAGGUGGACCUGACCAACUUACGCUCUGCGAUGGAUGCACUGGCAAGCGACCUGAUGGGUGAGCGAGACCGCGCCGACAACUUGUCUGCCGCCAUUGAUGACGCGUCGGAAAAGAUCGCGUCGGCACAGGCCGAGUUCGAGGAGCAGCUCAGGCAGAGGACGGCAGUCACCACAGCAGAGGUUGUGGAGGCGCGCCGUGCUGAAGCGCGCGCCACUGCAGCGCAGCUGCGCGCAGAAGAGCAGCUGGCUGCGGUCGAGAAGGAUCUCAAGGAACAGGAGGCUGUACUGCGCAAGCUGCAGGAUGAGAAUCAUCGACUUACCCGAGAGGCAGACCGGCUGCUACGCACUUCGCGUCUUGAGCCCAGUUCGCGUGCCCGCAGCAAUGUAAGUGGCUCCGUGACGCCGAAGUCGCUGUCUCUGUCAGCUACGUCUGCCGAGAAUGCAGCGCAGCGCUUCACAACGGCACCUUCCACUUUAGAGGCUAUCGAACAGGCUCAAAUUCUGCAGGUGUCUAGCUUGCAGGCAGACCUCAUGCUCAGUCGCCGGCAGGCCCGCGAGCUGGAGGGACGAGAGGCGACGCUGCGGCAGGCCUGCGCGGCACUGGAGCAGCAGGUCAGUGAGCUGCGCGCCAAGGCUGCAGAGUCGGAGCACCUGCGCGAGGAUCUGGCGACGCUACGCGCUGACUAUGUGGAGCUGGAGCAGCGCUACAGUGAGUUGGAGCUCAUGGCGACAGCCGCGGGUGGCGGCACGAUGCAGGAGCUUAAGCAGCUCCGCCAACAACUGAAGGUGCGGGAGGCGGAGCUGGAGGAGGUGAAGGCACGAAUGCGGGACCUCGUGCUGAGCAAGGCCGCACCAGAGCUUCAGGCGGCGCGGCGGCAGGAGGCGCUGCGAGAGAGCCUCAGCGGCAUCACGACACAGCUGGCUGCCACCCAGGCACAGUACGGCGGUGGCACAGGCGGCAGCAGCAAAGCUCGCAGCCGUCGCGAUAGCCUCACUGCUGCCCUCAGCAACUCCGAUCUCAAUCUGUCUUCGUCGAGGCCAUCGCCGCAAGAUGUGCUGAACUCCCGCAUCGAGCACUUGCAAACCCUCGUACACGACCGUGAGGUGGCGCUCGAGAAGGUUCAGGCUGCUCAGCUUGAAUCCCGCGCUGCCAUGGACACGCUCGAGGAUCAGCUGGCCGCCAAGACAGCCGCCUUGGAGCGCGCUGAAGGCCUUGUCGCCGAAUAUGCGGACACCAUCAACGCGUUCACCAUGGCUGCAGUGGCAAGGCGUGGUAACCGUGGUGCAGUCUCCACCACGGUUCCCCCUCUGAGCAGCGGGAUGGGCAGUCCGGAUGCAGAGGCGCUAUCGGCUUCUGUGCCAACUCUGACCCCGCUGACGCCGCGAACUCGCGCUGCCGUCAAUGGACAGCCGCACGCUGCCGUUGCCAUGGUGUCACCAGCACCGCGCAUGCCGAACCUAGACGAGGUCGCAGACGACAGCGAUGGUAGCGGCGAAGGCAAGCAGGCGGACUCUGCGGGCCCCUCGACCGAUUCAGCGCCGCCCCCGGUGACUCACCGACGGACCAGCGCUAGCGGUAGCUGGAGGGGCGCAAAGAGUUGCCCUGCCCAUCGCCCAUCGUCGUCGACAGAGCGGAGUGCGCCAUCGUCUCCGUCUAAUGUCCCUGGGCGCAAGUCUUUUGCGGGCGCCUCUGUGCCGGCCACUACUCGGAAGCGAGCUCGCUCCAGCACGAACUCAUAACGGCAAGGUCACCCCACAGCAGAGCCGCGCGUAAGCGGAGCCUACUCGAAGAGCGACUUGCACCUGCCACGUGGGGCAAUGCCGAGUCUCCCGCUCACCCGUGCCCGCACGCAUCUGACCACUCAUGCCGGUGCGGCAGAAGAAGACGGGCCACGCCGAACACCCCUUUAUCUCCCUUCCCCCUCGAUAUGGUGCCUCUCCUCGUGCUUGAUGUGUUUGGCCAGUCUGGCUGGACGGCGUGCUUGGCCCCCUCCCUCACGACCGCUUCUCUUUGCCCCAAUCAUCUGCUCCGACCUCUCCGACCUCUCCGCCCUUGUUCCGCUCUCUUGCCCACGAUCGCCUUUCUCGCUCUCGCUCUCUCCUCACCUGUGCUGUCGUCCUUUUCGUCUCCUCAUCUGUGUUGCACAUUGUGUAUGCGAGUGUGGUGCGUGCGCUUGACCGCUGUGUAUCUUCGAAAAGAAACGCAGGGGGGGGGCGGUGGCGGUGGUGGUGAGGGAAGAGGGGCCUUUGGCAGAGAUGUACGUAUGCGCGCAGACGGACCUCAGACAGGCACCGGUAUACACACCGCACGAAACCCCGACAUGGGUCGAGGCGGACAUUCUAGUGCUCUUCUCCCUUCCUCUUUCCCCCGCUGCUCAGCUUUUAUAGCUUGAUUUCUCACACCCCUCGUGGUCUGUCCUCUCGCGCUGUCUUCGCACCGCUGCGCCUUGGCGCAGAUGCUUCAGGCACUUGGCACCCCUUCGGCAUGUUCUUCUCGACUCUUCCUUCCCCCAUUCCCGUCUCCUUGUGCUGCGCGCCCCCCUCUCUUCUGUUUUGCGAUAUCGCCUACCGUCGUUGUGGUGCAUCAGCUGAACCCCGCCUCCUUCUCUUCUCAACGGUGCAUGCGUGCUUGCAUAUGUUGAUGUACUUGCUCCGAGCUGUGAUCUCAUCACCUCCUUCUUUACCCGCUCCUCGCAUUCUCGCGUGGCGUUUUUGGUCUACGGUGUGAACUCACAGAGGAGGUUGUGGUUGUGGUGAUGGUGGAGCUAUGCGUUUGCAUUGCUGUGCUUCACGUACGAGACGAGAACGGAAAAGGCGUCGCCUGACAAGAGCUCCUCCCGUACGUCCUCCCUCCCUCCCUGUGCACUCAUCUCGGUCUUCCGCUCGCUUUCGCGCUGCCCAUCACCUUCCAACGCAGCCCCUUCUUUUUUUUCUUCCCCCCUCUGGUCUUUCCUCCACGAAUCGCCAUGUCCUCUUCGGUUUCGCGCACUUGCACCACCAGGCCACCGGUGUGCUUCUGCGUCACCCUUUGCUGUGAAUGUUGGUGUGGCGGCGGCUCCCAAGAUGACUGCACGUCCAACCUCCCACCCUCACGACGGUGCUGUGUUUCGCUCACUGUCUCUGUCUGUUCCUAUUCUUGCCUGUGCGCAUGUAAAAUGCAUUUCUUCUGUCUCGCGCCUCGCCAGGACAUCAAUGGUGAGCAACUCAGCGACCGUAAAUCUAAAUUGAGGUGUCCUCGAGUGCCAGUGACUUGCGCGCGCGCCAGAGGGAUAUCGACACAGACGCGCGCACACAGGUAUACAGUAUCCACCUCUUUUCGGCUCAGCUUCGUUCACCACCUAUUCGUGGUGACCUUGGCUCUUGAGAAGAAAAUACAAAUUUCUUGCCCUUCGGGCUUCCGAUUCUACCAUCGGGUUCCUCAUUGUCCAGCCUUGCACCUCAUAAAGCGUGUCAUCGUUCAUCCACCAUCACGCCCAUUCCAACAAGCCAGCGCCCCACCUCAGCGUGGCGCUGCCUGUCGCACAGAUGAACAUCGAUUCGACACACAGGAUU